UUCCAAAUAAAAUUUCUCCCUUACACAGGGGCUCUUGCCAUGAUAAGAUGCAAACAAGAGGGUCCUCACACCAAAGCUGAGCCAAUGCCAGGACCAUGACCUUGAACUUCCGAAAGUGAGUUAAAUAAACCUCUUAUUUAUAAUGUCAACCGUCCUCGGGUAUUAACUUGUAGUAAUACCAAGUGGAUUAAUGCUGUGACUGAAUGGAAGAAUUGAAAGGACAAGGAUCCUGCAUCAGGCUCAUCCACAUGGGACAGAGAUCCAUCUGUAAACUUCAGAGCAGAUUUGCCACCAGACCAAGUGCUUCUUGCUAGAAGGUCUUCAAGGGCACAGAUGUCUUCUUUACCUUUAUAUACCAGGGUGUAAGUUGCUGAGCCUGGUCUCCAAUUUGCCAUCCUCCUGCCUCAGCCUCCUGAGUCUCUGGGAAUAUAGAACUGCACCAGGACAUCCAGCAAGGGACAGUUCUUUCUAAUGUUGCUGACAAAAUUCUUACAGCGUGUAUUUCACUGAUGUUAACAAGAGAAAUGGAAGUCGAUGAUGUUUAGCAUUAACAUAUUGUGACAUAAUCUGGACUCCACUCCUCACUAAUUACAGAAUUUUAGAGCUGGGAAGUUCUUAGUGAUCACCUAAUCCAAUCUUCUCAUUGUAUAAGAAAAUGUAGUUCAAAGGUUAAGCAAUUUAACCAGGUUGUAUAAUGAAGUGUAAGCAAAAUGGUUGGAGGGGGGGCACAAUAAGGACGUUUAAUUGUAUCCUCAGCAGGUUAUAAACUUCAAACAAACCAUUUUUUCCAAUUAA